GACGAACGCUGGCGGCGUGCUUAACACAUGCAAGUCGAGCGGAAAGGCCCUUUCGGGGGUACUCGAGCGGCGAACGGGUGAGUAACACGUGAGUAAUCUGCCCUGCGCUGCGGGAUAACCAUCGGAAACGGUGGCUAAUACCGGAUAUGACCACUUCAGGCAUCCGAUGGGGGGGGAAAGUUUUUUCGGCGCAGGAUGUGCUCGCGGCUUAUCAGCUUGUUGGUGGGGUAAUGGCCUACCAAGGCUUCGACGGGUAGCCGGCCUGAGAGGGUGACCGGCCACACUGGGACUGAGACACGGCCCAGACUCCUACGGGAGGCAGCAGUGGGGAAUAUUGGACAAUGGGCGGAAGCCUGAUCCAGCAACGCCGCGUGAGGGAUGACGGCCUUCGGGUUGUAAACCUCUAUCAGCACAGACGAAGCGCAAGUGACGGUAUGUGCAGAAGAAGGACCGGCCAACUACGUGCCAGCAGCCGCCGUAAUAC
rnacentral:rRNA from 1 species